rnacentral:rRNA from 1 species
CACGUAGGGGGCAAGCGUUGUCCGGAUUCAUUGGGCGUAAAGAGCUCGUAGGCGGUUCGAUAAGUCGGGUGUGAAACCUCCAGGCUCAACCUGGAGACGCCACCCGAUACUGUCGUGACUAGAGUCCAGUAGGGGAGCGUGGAAUUCCCGGUGUAGCAGUGAAAUGCGUAGAGAUCGGGAGGAACAUCAGUUGCGAAGGCGGCUCUCUGGACCAGCACUGACACUGAGGCACGAAAGCGUGGGGAGCAAACAGG